GUGUUUUCUGAUAAUAUUUCAGUUUUUAGCGCCAAAGAUAUCCAUGAAGAUGGUGUUAAUGGAGGUUUGCGUAGAUUCUGUUGAAUCUGCCAUGAAUGCAGAAAAGGGUGGUGCCCAAAGACUGGAGUUGUGUGGUAAUUUGAUGGAAGGUGGUACCACUCCCACCCCAGGAAUGCUUGCAGUUAUUAAACAAAAUGUUUCAAUACCAGUGUUUGUCAUGAUAAGACCCAGGGGAGGAGACUAUCUUUACUCACAGCAAGAGUUCAAUGUGAUGAAAGAGGAUUUAAAAUGCUUGAAAAAACAUGGAGCUGAUGGAAUUGUCUUUGGAAUCCUCAAUGAAAAAGGUCAAAUUGAUGUUUCAAGAAAUAAAGAAUUACUAGAACUAUCAAGACCUCUUCCUGUUACUUUCCAUAGAGCUUUUGACAUGGUGAAGGAUCCAAAGGAAAGCCUUGAAGAUCUGAUACACAUUGGAUUUGAAAGGGUUUUAACAAGUGGAUUAGAUUCGACAGUUUUAGAUGGGCUGCCAGUCAUUAAAGAACUAAAUACGCAGGCAAAUAAAAGAAUAACGAUUGUACCAGGAGGUGGAAUAACAGAACGUAACUUAGAGCGUAUCCUACAGGGAACUGGUGUAGAGGAGUUUCAUUGUUCUGCACGUGAAUCGUCUACAUCACUCAUGGAGUACAGAAAUAGUCACGUGUUUAUGGGUGGAGCUCUUCGACCAUCUGAAUUCCAAAUCAAAACUACGAGUUGCGAUAGAGUGAAGGCAAUCAUUAAAAUAGCAAAAGAUAGCUUAUGAUUAUAACAGGGCCAACGCUGAAUCAUAUCGAAGCACGACACUUUGAAGAUUUAUACCAGAAGGGUCGCCCACAAACAUAAACACAAGCCACUGAUUGGAUUAGAAAACCAAGCAAGGCUGGAGUCUACCAAACUGUGAGCUGGCUGGCUGUUGCUCGUUUUGAUGAGCAACAGACCCAUUUGCACAGAUUUCAGUGAUGACAAGCUGGGGUAGCUUUGCAUUCAAACGCUGCAACAUUGCUAAAGAUUUUCAAAACAAAAAAGGAUUGAAGUAGAAUAAUGCAAAAAGCCUGUAUUCACCUGUUCCUAAACGCUAAUCCAAUCGAUAAACUAAUUAAAAUUUUCAAAAUUAUUUUGAAUUUGCCAGGAAGGAUACCGAAAGGCGUUAGCUAGUGCUUGAAUUUAUUAAAUAUGUAAAUAUGCUCGGGAAAAAUUCCGAAUCCCCCUCUCGUUGCCGGUCAAGUGCUAAUACUGCUACUGCAAGUGCUCUUGCCACUAAAUUACUGGGAACUCAUAGGGAAGUGCAACUGGAUAAGGUUUAAAUAGUAUUUAGUCUAGUCACUUAGGACGGACUUACACUGAGAAAACCUACUUUAUUCCACACUUGGGAUAGCUGUUAAUCCCUAAGUGGCUAAUUGAACAUACUGAUGUCUAAUAUUCACAAAGUGGCUGUGAAUUAAGCGGAAAUGUUGGCGCCAAUACGCCCUCACAGCCACAACUGAGUGGGAUUUUAGUUCUCGCCGUUAUUAUUGUUCGGAAAGAAUUCUUUAUCUGCCUAACUGCGACAAAUAAACGCUGCUGGAUAUUAUUAAUCAGCUAUCACGUUGGUAAAUCUACUCCAUUAAGUAUAUAGGGAUUCAAACCAACCUU